AUUGAGCCGCAGCUUCAUUAACAGCCUCUCUUCCUUGUUGCGGUUGAUGGCGCACUGAUCGUGUCGCGGCGUGACAGACGAAAACCAGCGUGUGUUGAAGCUUCGUUCACGGACUUAACAUCUGGACUGGAUGGAUCUCGAUAAGUUAAGGUAAUAUGAACGUGUGAGAUGCAUCCAGCGCCAGAGCAGCUCAACUUGGAAUUGUGUGAUUUAUAAGCACUUAAAGUAAAAUGUAUUUACUUCCUUGUCAUGUGUUCAGUUGUAGGACUAAUUUAAACAUUAAUUCAUAAAUAUCUGCCUGAAAAUGUGGAAUUUGUCAAAUCCCUAUUGUAUAAUUGUCUGAAAGUGUUGUGAUGUAAGUUGUGAAAUUCAUUGUAUGGUUGUAACCAAAGUGAUCAAUAAAGUUGACUCAGUCAAAA